rnacentral:rRNA from 1 species
UGGGGAAUCUUGCGCAAUGGGCGAAAGCCUGACGCAGCAACGCCGCGUGAGCGAAGAAGGCCUUCGGGUUGUAAAGCUCUGUCAGGAGGGACGAAGCCACUCGGGUGAAUAGCCCAGAGGGUGACGGUACCUCCAGAGGAAGCCCCGUCUAACUUCGUGCCAGCAGCCGCCGUAAUACGUAGGGGGCGAGCGUUGUCCGGUAUCAUUGGGCGUAAAGCGCGUGUAGGCGGCUUGGCAAGUCCGGUGUGAAAGCUUCAGGCUCAAGCGCGAGUCUGCACUGGAAACUGCCUUGCUAGAGUCCGGAAGAGGAGACUGGAAUUCCUGGUGUAGCGGUGAAAUGCGCAGAUAUCAGGAAGAACACCGGUGGCGAAGGCGGGUCUCUGGGACGGUACUGACGCUGAGAC